GUUUUCAAAGGCCACUCCGCGAAAUUUGGUAGCUACACCGUGAUGGACCUGAAAACCAACACCGUGAUUGAUGUUCAGUUGGUCCAGAGCAACGAGGUAGGUGGUAGCUACCACAUGGAGAAGGAGGGCCUGAAGAGAAGCCUUGCAUUGUUGAACGAGCGCAAGGUGACCCUUGACUGUAUAGUGACAGACCGACACCCGCAGAUACAAAAGUUCCUGAGGGAAGCUGGCAUCAACCAGUACUAUGACGUCUGGCACAUGGAAAAAGGAAUUUCAAAACAGCUGGAGAAGAUCAGCAAAAUAAAAGACUGCCAGAAGCUGAAGAAGUGGAUGCAGGCCAUAAGAAAUCACAUAUACUAGACUGCGGCAACAUCUGCGUCAGGACCAGAGGGGGUGGCAAAAUGGACCUCCAUCCUCAACCAUGUCCGGGACGUCCACACCCAUGAGGACUCCAAUUUCCCAGCCUGUCUGCAUCCAGUUCGCAAAACCCGCGACAAGAACAAAUGGCUGACAACAGGAACUCCAGCGUUCUACCAGCUGGAGAAGGUGCUGAGUGCCAAAAGAGUCCUCAAGGACAUUGCUAAGCUUAGCCCCCACCACCAGACCUCAUCAUUAGUCAUUUCACAGUGUGAUCUUGCAAUUUGCUCCAAAAAAUGUGGUGUUUCCUUUCCUUGGGAUGCUUUGCAGACUCGACCUGGCUGCUCUGCAUUACAAUGAGAAUGCUGCACGAGACCAGGCCACCUCAUCCUCUGGGGACCCUCUACAGGAUGCAUUUCCCAAAGUACAGGAAGGGAUAGUGCAGGGUGAAACCCAUGAAAACUGAGACAACAUUCCGGUAUGUGGAACACUUGAUGGGCUUCAUCAUGGGCGAGGUCUUUAUGGACCCAGAAGCAUACAGGGAGGAACUCCUGAAAAUAAGCAUUCCUCCGGACCUGUCCUCAGAGUUUGAGCACCCAGAGAAGGAGGAGGUGAUCGCCAACUAUGUUUCUCGCUUCAAUCCAGGGGAGGCAGUUUGAAGCCCACGUAUUGUCCUUGGCUGUCAGGAAACUCCCGACGAACACGCAGGACCACACAUGACGGAUUGACGACCCUUAUUCUGCGUCCAAGGAAACCCCAACACCAACUGACAAAGCUCCUGUAGGCAAGAUACCUGUAACGACUAAAAAAAACAUUGCAUUAGUUAGCAGGUUACAUAAUCUGUCAGUUCUGUCAAAAAUGCA